rnacentral:rRNA from 1 species
GGGGAGGCAGCAGUGGGGAAUAUUGCACAAUGGGGGAAACCCUGAUGCAGCCAUGCCGCGUGUGUGAAGAAGGCCUUCGGGUUGUAAAGCACUUUCAGUAGGAGGAAGGUAGUGUAGUUAACACCUGCAUUAUUUGACGUUACCUACAGAAGAAGCACCGGCUAACUCCGUGCCAGCAGCCGCGGUAAUACGGAGGGUGCGAGCGUUAAUCGGAAUUACUGGGCGUAAAGCGCAUGCAGGCGGCCUGUUAAGUCAGAUGUGAAAGCCCGGGGCUUAACCUCGGAAUUGCAUUUGAAACUGGCAGGCUAGAGUCUUGUAGAGGGGGGUAGGAAUUUCAGGUGUAGCGGUGAAAUGCGUAGAGAUCUGAAGGAAUACCAGUGGCGAAGGCGGCCCCCUGGACAAAGACUGACGCUCAGAUGCGAAAGCGUGGGGAGCAAACAGGAUUAGAUACCCCUGGUAG